rnacentral:piRNA from 1 species
UAGGUGUAAUAAUAGACUGAAUUGUCCCUUC